rnacentral:rRNA from 1 species
AGCAGAGCACUCCUACGGGAGGCAGCAGUGAGGAAUAUUGGACAAUGGGCGGGAGCCUGAUCCAGCCAUGCCGCGUGCAGGAAGACUGCCCUAUGGGUUGUAAACUGCUUUUUAUACGGGAAGAAACACUCCCUCGUGAGGGAAUUUUGACGGUACCGUAAGAAUAAGGAUCGGCUAACUCCGUGCCAGCAGCCGCGGUAAUACGGAGGAUCCAAGCGUUAUCCGGAAUCAUUGGGUUUAAAGGGUCCGUAGGUGGACGAUUAAGUCAGAGGUGAAAUCUUGCAGCUCAACUGUAAAAUUGCCUUUGAUACUGGUUGUCUUGAGUUAUUAUGAAGUGGUUAGAAUAUGUAGUGUAGCGGUGAAAUGCAUAGAUAUUACAUAGAAUACCAAUUGCGAAGGCAGAUCACUAAUAAUAUACUGACACUGAUGGACGAAAGCGUGGGUAGCGAACAGGAUUAGAUACCCUGGUAG